UACAGAGGUCCCAAGCGUUGUUCGGAUUCACUGGGCGUAAAGCGUGCGCAGGCGGUCUGUUAAGACCGAUGUGAAAUCCCCGGGCUUAACCUGGGAACUGCAUUGGUGACUGGCAGGCUUUGAGUGUGGCAGAGGGAGGUAGAAUUCCACGUGUAGCAGUGAAAUGCGUAGAGAUGUGGAGGAAUACCGAUGGCGAAGGCAGCCUCCUGGGCCAACACUGACGCUCAUGCACGAAAGCGUGGGGAGCAAACAGG
rnacentral:rRNA from 1 species